UUUUUCAAAAAUCCUGAGGCCGAAAUGUUGCCGCAAAAAAAGAAUCACCCAAUUUCUCUGACAUUUUCAUGCUUUAUGUUGUAGGUGAUGAAAAAUGAUCUCCAGGGUAAACCGGACAAAGUAUUUUGAAUGACUGUGAUGGUGACACACACACAGGCUGGGAAAACCAGGCAUUCUUCUGUUGGUUCAUGUGCUUCGUCCUACAUCCAAAGGCCACAGAAGAAUCAAAAACAGCUCAUGUCAAACUGUGGACCAUGUUUUCAGAUAUGUGCAGAUGCAAGCCAGUGUUGAAGCCUUCCUCAUUCCUGUGAAACCAGGACAACCCUUCCUCCUGCAUGUUGGUGAAAACAAGAGCAGCACCAAAGACACUUCGCCAUCAGUGAUCACAAGAUCAUCCAAGUUAGCUUUUGAUGAACUUUCAAAGCACACUUCACUUUCAGUGCAAAGUACCAUGAAUUCCUCUACAACUUCUGUAAAUUAAUCCAGCCUACAGUUUUCAACAUUGAUGUGACUUGCACGACAAUUGAGGAGUUUAAGAACAGGUUUUGCAAGAACUGUGUUUUUAUGUUCAUAGGAUUGUAGAAAUUAAUGAGUUAAACCCAGUUUAUGUUGUUGUAAACUGAAAGUCUUCCAUUUUUAUUCCAGUGUUAGUGACUUUGAAGGCCUAUUUUUUACCAGUUCUCUGAGGAAUGGUUUUGUGUUAUUCAUUUUGAAUGUUUGAAUAUACUGGAAAUAUAUGUGGUUUGAGGCAUAGUGGUGCCUUUAAAUAAAAAUUCUGUUCUGAA